CUGCAACUUAGUUUAUUUAGAACCUUCAACUUGCACUUGAAUAGAGAGACAUCUCAGUAGC
rnacentral:tRNA from 1 species